rnacentral:tRNA from 1 species
CAAAUUAGAGCUUGUUAAGCAUUUUAUUUACAUUAAAAAGAAAAUUGUAAAAAAUUUAAUUUGA